rnacentral:rRNA from 1 species
GACGAACGCUGGCGGCGUGCUUAACACAUGCAAGUCGAACGGAAAGGCCCUGCUUUUGUAGGGUCCCCGAGUGGCGAACGGGUGAGUAACACGUGGGUAACCUGCCCUGCACUUGGGGAUAACUCCGGGAAACUGGGGCUAAUACCGGAUAGGACCUCUCCUUGAUGGUGGGGGGUGGAAAGUUUCGGCGGUUGGGGAUGGACUCGCGGCUUAUCAGCUUGUUGGUGGGGUAGUGGCUUACCAAGGCUUUGACGGGUAGCCGGCCUGAGAGGGUGACCGGCCACAUUGGGACUGAGAUACGGCCCAGACUCCUACGGGAGGCAGCAGUGGGGAAUAUUGCACAAUGGGCGGAAGCCUGAUGCAGCAACGCCGCGUGCGGGAUGACGGCCUUCGGGUUGUAAACCGCUUUCGCCUGUGACGAAGCGUGAGUGACGGUAAUGGGUAAAGAAGCACCGGCUAACUACGUG